CAGCCGCCGCGGGAACACGUAGGUGGCAAGCGUUGUCCGCAAUUAUUGGGCGUAAAGCGCGCGCAGGCGGAUAGGUCAGUCCGUCUUAAAAGUGCGGGGCUCAACUCCGUGAGGGGAUGGAAACUGUAUGCCUUGAGUGCAGGAGAGGAAAGCGGAAUUCCCAGUGUAGCGGUGAAAUGCGUAGAUAUUAGGAAGAACACCAGUGGCGAAGGCGACUUUCUGGACGAAAACUGACGCUGAGGCGCGAAAGCCAGGGGAGCGAACGGGAUUAGAUACCCGUGUAGUCCCUGUCUCUUAUACC
rnacentral:rRNA from 1 species